rnacentral:lncRNA from 1 species
UUUCUUCCUCGUACUCACUUGUAACAUCACCAGCAGAGCUGCCGGCGGCGAACGUCACCUAUGCCAACGACAACCAAAAUUUCACCAUCAAUUCCCCUCGUUCCCCUCUUUCCAUCACUGCCCUUGGUUUCCCUCGAAUCAACGUCGAACCCUUCGAAUCUCCAUUUAAAAUUUUUUUGGCCACGACGCCAGUUACUACAAAUGAUCCCAAAUUAAUACACUAAGGUCGCCUGAGCCUCCUCUACCAAACCCACAUAACCGCAUGUCUCGAAUCUUGCCGGAACUUCUCGAAUUUUCGUUUGAGUUUCUUCUUGCCAAAACCCUAAACGCUUCAAAUGGUACCAAAUUGGCACAAUAUGAUACUCUCACCAUCUGCAUGAAGAUUCCAUCAUCUAGGGCCUUCAAACAUCAUCAGAAUUGGAGAAAUUUUAAAAAUUAUGACUGGCCGGAGUUUCUUUAUCAAUGAGUUUUGUUUUUCCUUCUCUGUGUUCUUAUUUUUCUCUAGUUCUUACGAGUUUAGUUUAUCAUUUGGUGUGUGACGACCCGACCCGUUGUCUCAUCCAUUUCCGUCCCAUUUUCCAGGUUUUGUGCUUCCUCAUGUGUCAGUAUAUGUGUUUGGUGAAUUUGAAGUGAUUCAGAUAGAGUUUGGUAAGAAAUAAAAUAAUUAGUCUCUUUAAGGAAGAAUUAGUUUGGAAAAGUCAACCGGAUAUUGAGUUGUGAGUUAGAGGGCACAGAACUGAAUUCCCGUGAUUCAGUUAGUUUUGGGGGAUGAUUUAAGGCUUAGGAGCGCAAUCAGACGUAAUUUUGGAGGUCUAGUGAAGAAGUUAUAGUAUUUUGGCGAAGUUAGUAUUUUGGCGAUUUUCGGUUGAUAUGUGAAAUUUUGAUCCGACGGUUAGAAAGGAAUUCGGAAGUUGUUGUAGCUUCUUUAGGUUAUUUGAGAUAUGUGCAAAAUUUCAAGUCAUUUGGACAUGUUUUGGUCGGGUUUUGGAUCGACUGUGUGUUUUUGAAGUUUUGAAAGAAUUUAGGCUUGAAUUCGAUGUGUUAAUCGAGGCGUUUUGAUGAUUGGAACAAGUUGGUAUGAUGUUUUAGGAGGUGUUGGCAUUUUUGGUUGAGGUCUCGGGGGCCUCGGGGUGAUUUCGGAUGGCUAACGAUAAUUUUUGAAGUUGGAAAAUGCUGCAGAAAUGCAGCAGUCAGUGCACAUCAAUUUUGUUCUAUGCGAUCGCAAUGCUCUAAUGCGAUCGGCCUUGGGGUGAUUCCGGAUGGCUAACUGGAAUUUUUGAAGUUGGAAAAUACUGCAGAAAUGCAGCAGUCAGUGCGCAACAAUUUUGUUCUAUGCAAUACCAAUGCUCUAAUGCGAUCGCAUAGUGUUAGCUACAGUACCGAGAUUUUGUUCUAUGCAAUCACAGAGGGUUAGAUACAGUACCCAGAAUUUUGUUCUACGGGAUUGCAAGGCUCUAAUGAGAUCGCAUAGUGUUAGCUACAGUACGCAGGAUUUUGUUCUAUGCAAUCGCAUAGGGUUAGCUACAGUGCCCCCGAAAUUUUGUACUAUGCGAUCGCAAGGCUAUAAUGCGAUACAGUGACUGGGCAGAAUGUUAAAAACAUUUGAAUCGCGAAAACCACCCAUUUCUCCACCAUUUUAGUCAUUUUGAGAGCUUUUGGACGGGGAGUAAAGGGAGUUUCAAACAAGAUCGAUUGGAG